rnacentral:tRNA from 1 species
UGGGGUAUCGCCAAGUGGUAAGGCAACGGAUUCUGAUUCCGUCACCGCAGGUUCGAAUCCUGCUACCCCUGCCA